rnacentral:rRNA from 1 species
UGAGGAAUAUUGGACAAUGGGCGCAAGCCUGAUCCAGCCAUGCCGCGUGCAGGAUGACGGUCCUAUGGAUUGUAAACUGCUUUUGUACAGGAAGAAACAGUUCUACGUGUAGAACCUUGACGGUACUGUAAGAAUAAGGAUCGGCUAACUCCGUGCCAGCAGCCGCGGUAAUACGGAGGAUCCAAGCGUUAUCCGGAAUCAUUGGGUUUAAAGGGUCCGUAGGCGGUUAGAUAAGUCAGUGGUGAAAGCCCAUCGCUCAACGGUGGAACGGCCAUUGAUACUGUCUGACUUGAAUUAUUAGGAAGUAACUAGAAUAUGUAGUGUAGCGGUGAAAUGCUUAGAGAUUACAUGGAAUACCAAUUGCGAAGGCAGGUUACUACUAAUGGAUUGACGCUGAUGGACGAAAGCGUGGUAGCGAACAGGAUUAGAUACCCACGUAGUCCCUGAGCGGGCUGGCAAGGCGCAU